UACGGGGGGGAGCAAGCGUUGUUCGGAUUUACUGGGCGUAAAGGGCGCGUAGGCGGUCGUGACAAGUCACUUGUGAAAUCUCCGGGCUUAACUCGGAACGGUCAAGUGAUACUGUCGGACUAGAGUACAGAAGGGGCAACUGGAAUUCUCGGUGUAGCGGUGAAAUGCGUAGAUAUCGGGAGGAACACCAAUGGCGAAGGCAGCUCGCUGGGACGGUACUGACGCUGAGA
rnacentral:rRNA from 1 species